GACGAACGCUGGCGGCGUGCUUAACACAUGCAAGUCGAACGGAAAGGCCCUGCUUUUGUUGGGUGCUCGAGUGGCGAACGGGUGAGUAACACGUGAGUAACCUGCCCUUGACUUUGGGAUAACUUCAGGAAACUGGGGCUAAUACCGGAUAGGAGCUCCUGCUGCAUGGUGGGGGUUGGAAAGUUUCGGCGGUUGGGGAUGGACUCGCGGCUUAUCAGCUUGUUGGGGGGGUAGUGGCUUACCAAGGCUUUGACGGGUAGCCGGCCUGAGAGGGUGACCGGCCACAUUGGGACUGAGAUACGGCCCAGACUCCUACGGGAGGCAGCAGUGGGAAAUAUUGCACAAUGGGCGGAAGCCUGAUGCAGCAACGCCGCGUGCGGGAUGACGGCCUUCGGGUUGUAAACCGCUUUCGCCUGUGACGAAGCGUGAGUGACGGUAAUGGGUAAAGAAGCACCGGCUAACUACGUG
rnacentral:rRNA from 1 species